UACCGAGGUCCCAAGCGUUGUUCGGAUUCACUGGGCGUAAAGGGUGCGUAGGCGGUCGGGUAAGUCUGUCGUGAAAUCUCCGAGCCCAACUCGGAAACUGCGUCGGAUACUAUUCGGCUAGAGGAAUGGAGGGGAGACUGGAAUUCUCGGUGUAGCAGUGAAAUGCGUAGAUAUCGAGAGGAACACCAGUGGCGAAGGCGAGUCUCUGGACAUUUCCUGACGCUGAGGCACGAAAGCCAGGGGAGCAAACGGG
rnacentral:rRNA from 1 species